GGCGGAGCCGGGCAGCGCUGCGCAUGCGCACUGGCUUUACCCGCCCGGUGCUGCUGCUCCGUGGGUACCGUCCGGCGCUGCCCGGGAGCGGCUUGGAAGCGCCGGGUUCGGUUCCCGGCUGCGGCAGCGGCGGGCGAGGGUUGUGGUGACAAUGGAGGAGGGCGGCUGUUGCUGUGGCUGCAGCGAGGCGGAAAGAGCACUCGUGAGAAGUUUCCCAUUUGGAGUUGGAGUCCAAAAGGAAGGAACUUGAAACUGCUUCUUCUGAUAAAUCCCGCAGGGCUGAGCUGGAGAACGGGUGGAGACAGUGGCAAGCGGGAGUCCCAUGUUUACAUCUGCCCUUGGAUUCCAGUUUCUUCCAGUGGGUCUGUGCUGCCCGAAGUACAAAGGAAGGAGGUGUUGGAGUACCUGUUUGUUCACCUGUUGAGCUUGGAAGAGAUGCUGAGUGUGAAAUUCCAGGGGUGCCGGCUCCUUGCGAGCUGUUGGUUGCUCAGGAGAUUGGGUCGGGGAAAGGGGGGGAGAGUCCGAGCACAGCACAGUGGUAGGAGCUGGGUUUGCAUCUCAAUCUAAGGCAUCUCAAAGCCUGAUAAGCUGGAAAGAAGACUUUGCUAUGUUAAUGCACAAUUACAUUUUUGUGCAAUUUUUUGAAAUUAGGGCUGGGAUCAACCUGGGGAGGUUGUCUGGCCCAAUUCCCUGUGCCCUGCUUUGCCAUGAGGAAUGGAUGCCUGACCUCUUUGCAGAGAGCUGCUGCUGAUAAAGAUUUCUCAGUUUCUAUAGUGAAUUUAUCCCAGUACUUUGCUGCUAUAAAGAAGUCUCCUCUUGCUGCCAUUUCCCCCUAUUACAUUUAAGAUCAGCUCCAGCUGAGUUAGAAUUUAAUCCUGACCUUUUCCCCCCUUUUUUUUUCCAAGAGGCCUCAGCUAUCUCGCUAUUUCUUUCCUCUCUCACCCUGCAGGUCCUGUUUUUCAGACCUCGUUCUUUCCUUAUAAAACCCUUGAUAACCCAUUCCCCACUUAAGGCUUUGUUGUAUCCUUGUUUUGCUACCUUCUGGGUGCUGUGGAUGAAGGUCUGGCUUUGAGGAGCACACCCUGCUCCCUUUGCUCAAGGGAUUGCAGUUAUUCCAAUCUCCUGCUGCUGAGGGCUUCUUUAGGCUCUUGCUGAAAUGAAAAAUAUCCAGGAAGCUUUUCCUUUUUUGAGAUUAGACUGGUUUCUGCAAGUCCUUGAGAUGUGACCAUGAUGGUUAAAAACCCACAGUGCAAAUGAAGGUUUCCCCCUUCUUCCCCCCUGCCCCCUACCUGUUCCAUGCUCGGUCCUCUCCCUGCACAGUUCAUUACUUUGUAAUCACAACUGCUAAGGAAACCUUUCUAAUCUUGUCAAUUGGCAGUGCAACUGCUUUUAAAUUCUGUUUUAAAAUAGGUUUUGAAGUCAGGCUCUGCCCUUGCUAUUGAUUUGAAUUCUUGACUGAGUAAAUUAUUGGUGCUUAACAAGCCCUUUGUUGCUUUAAAGCCUUUCUCCAAGGGUCAGAGAAUAACACUGACAGGGAGUGAAGGAGCGCUGCCCAGUAGUUGCUUAGAAACGGAGUGUGUUAAACCAGGUUUCUUUAAAAGCAGUUUUGAGUAAGUGAAAUUCAGUCACUUGAAUUACUUUGGGAAAUGGUCCAUUUAGGAUAGAUCCACACUGACAGAAGCUGUUUAUCUGAGGUCAGUACAUGCUUUGAUCAGUGCAGGGCCUUCCCCUCAAGAAAUGCAUGAGCCAAGCCCAGCAAGGUAGAGGAAAAGACACAAGUUCAGCUUAGAGAGCUGCACAGGUGAAAUCCCAUGGAUGUGCCUGGAGCAUGGCCCUCCCCAGCAGCUUUUCUUACAGUUAAAUUCUUAAAAAAGCUAAAAGCUGAUGUUCAGUACUUUGGGAUCUGGCUCAAAACUGUGGAGAGGAUAAACUCCCUUACUGGAACUCAGGCGGUGGAGUGCUCACAAGCCAGCAGCCAGAUUGCUUCUUGUUCAGCUUCAAUUCAACGUUGGCUUUUUGUUGUUGUUUUGGUUGGUUGGCUGGUUUUAAAGUAUUCUUAGAGAUGCUACAAGUGGAAGAAGAGAACAGAAAUAGAGUGGAGCACCACUGGCACAGUAACUGAUAUUUUACUGUUCCUCUUUUUCUUUUAAAAAUAUAUGUAGAUAACAUGAACUUUUAAACUCUGUGAUUUGGGAGAAACACUUUUUUCUCCCUCUCUUUGGAAGAGAUAUGCAAGUCCUGAGCCAUUGGGCCAAUGCUUGCUGCAUUUUGUUUACGUUUUUACAAUCAAACAAGGGGCUGAUAAGAUUGACAAGGAAGAUACAACUCAGGAGCUCACUAGGCAGCAGCCUCCAAACUCUUUGGGUGAUGCAGUAGGGUAUGAAGACUGUUUUCCAGUGUGAGAUUAAUCCCUAAUAACAUGCUCACUGACAUAAAAGUCACUUCUUAUAAGCCACGUCUUAUUCCCUGAAGUGCAGGAGCUGAGGUGUUUGACAAAGCCUUGGCAGAAUGAUGCAGUAUAUCCCUGUCAGUUUUCUCCUUCUCGUGCUAGCAAGAGCAAUCCAUCUUCUUUAAGGGUUUUGUUCCUUUGGGAUUGUGUGUAGUUUAGAGGGAGAACAGUACCCAGAAGCAUUAAUUAUUUAAUCUGGACUGCUUUUUUCCUCGACGUGUGAGGUCUGAGUAUUGUGCUGGGAUGCAGGGCCAAUAAAAUUUCUGGGAGUCGGACUUGGAGCUUGAAAGUUUUAGAAUUAACACUGGAGACUCAGCUCCCUCUAUGGUCAGAAGAGGGGGAGACACCUUCCUUCAGGAUGUCUCUCCAGGGAAUGCUUUUGCAAAGUUUUCUCUCGUAAUGGCUGAAGUCUUGCCUCUCCCUGAAAUUGCGGUGUAGAUCCCGCUGGAGGCAGUAAAUCUCUCAAAUGUAUGAGCUUGGGCCUACACACCUGCUAAGGUGUGACUAGAGGUGUGAGAGCUUUUGCAAAUGAAUUUGGAAUAAUGAGAAUCACA